UACGUAGGGUGCAAGCGUUAUCCGGAAUUAUUGGGCGUAAAGAGUUCGUAGGUGGUUUGGUAAGUUUGUGGUUAAAUCUGGUCGCUCAACGAUCAAAUCGCUACAAAAACUCCCAAACUUGAGAUUGGCAGAGGCAACUGGAAUUCCACAUGUAGGGGUAAAAUCCGUUGAUAUGUGGAGGAACACCAAAAGCGAAGGCAGGUUGCUGGGCCAUUUCUGACACUGAGGAACGAAAGCGUGGGGAGCAAACAGG
rnacentral:rRNA from 1 species